rnacentral:rRNA from 1 species
GACGAACGCUGGCGGCGUGCUUAACACAUGCAAGUCGAACGCUGAAGCACCAGCUUGCUGGUGUGGAUGAGUGGCGAACGGGUGAGUAAUACGUGAGUAACCUGCCCUUGACUCUGGGAUAAGCCCGGGAAACUGGGUCUAAUACUGGAUGCUACAUGUCACCGCAUGGUGGUGUGUGGAAAGGGUUUACUGGUCUUGGAUGGGCUCACGGCCUAUCAGCUUGUUGGUGAGGUAAUGGCUCACCAAGGCGACGACGGGUAGCCGGCCUGAGAGGGUGACCGGCCACACUGGGACUGAGACACGGCCCAGACGCCUACGGGAGGCAGCAGGGGGGAAUAUUGCACAAUGGGCGAAAGCCUGAUGCAGCGACGCCGCGGGAGGGAUGACGGCCUUCGGGUUGUAAACCUCUUUCAGCAGGGAAGAAGCCACAAGUGACGGUACCUGCAGAAGAAGCGCCGGCUAACUACGUG